AGAAAAACCCGGAUUAGAAUCAGCCGCGGUGAGUUUAGGUGCCCUGUUCAACUCCCUUAGGGGACAGACUUUGAAUAAAGCAAACUGCCCCCCAUAACAUGGGUGGGCUUCAUCCAGUCAGCUGAAUACCUGAACAGAACGAAAGACUGACGUCCCCCAAACAGCACUAAAUUCACCAGCACACAGCCUUUGGAUCUCAACUGCAAUGCUGGCUCCGUGUUGGGUUUCCAGCUUGCCAGCAUCCUGCAGCUUUUGGACUUGGCCAGGCUCCCUAACCAUAGGAGCCAAUUCUUCAAUCAUAUACCUGUCAUGUCAAAACAAAAAGAAGAAAGUGGACUUCAGAUAUUCCAUCCUUAAUAUACAAUGAAAAAUGGGUUGUUUCUUUAUCAAACCCGACGGCAAAGCAGCGUGUUCGUCAGGCUCUGAGCCCGGGUCUGCGCUACAAGAACACAGCAGAUUGAAGCACAGCGCUCCCUGGGAUUCAGCCUUUACAGUCGCUGCUUUGAAGAUAAGCAAGAGCAACAAAAUUUGGUAAACAAUGAC